rnacentral:misc_RNA from 1 species
GAUGAAGAACGUAGCGAAAUGCGAUACUUGGUGUGAAUUGCAGAAUCCCGUGAACCAUCGAGUCUUUGAACGCAAGUUGCGCCUCAAGCCAUUAGGUUGAGGGCACGUCUGCCUGGGCGUCACAUAUCGUUGCCUGAUGCCAGUUUCCUCGUGAUGGGUGACUGUGCAGGGCGAAUGAUGGCUUCCCGUGAGCAUUGUUGCCUCAUGGUUGGUUGAAAAUUGAGUCCUUGGUAGGGAGCGCCGUGAUAGAUGGUGGUUGAGUGACGAACGAGACCCAAUCAUGUGAGACCCCUACCGAAUUUGGCCUUCAUGACCCACAUGCGUCUUUGGAACGCUCAUGACGAGACCUCAGGUCAGGCGGGGCCACCCGCUGAGUUUAAGCAUAUCAAUAAGCGGAGGA